CGGUGCAUGCGCCGCAUGCGCCGCUGCCGCAGCCCCGCCCCUCCCAUGGCUGCUGUUGGUGGGCUGCUGGAUCGGGCACGGCGGAAGGAAGCAGUGCGGCUCCGCAGGCGGCGGUCAGUGUUGUACAGCGAUCCCAGCGCAGCCGCCGGGCAGGCAGGAGCAGGCGCUGCGGGCGGGCCGGCGCGGCUGCUGGCUCUCGCGGUGGCGCUACGGGCGCUCAACUGCUUCCUUGUGCAGACCAGCUUCGUUCCGGACGAGUACUGGCAGGCGCUGGAGGUUGCGCAUCGCAUGGUCUUCAAUUAUGGCCACCUUACUUGGGAAUGGGCACAUGGCUUAAGGAGCUACUCGUACCCACUUAUCUUUGCAGGCAUCUACAAAGCUUUGCAGCUGCUGGCUCAGGAUGAUGUUCAGCUACUGAUCUGGAUCCCUAGACUUGCACAGGCAGUGCUGGCAGCUUUUGCUGAUGUGAAGCUUUACUCACUAGUGCAACACCUUGAAAAUGCAGAAACAGCAAAGUGGGUGUACUUCUGCCAGCUGUGUUCCUGGUUUACAUGGUAUUCCUGUACCAGAACUCUAACAAACACCAUGGAAACUCUUCUUACCAUUUUUGCGCUUUCCUACUAUCCAAUAAGAGGUUCAAAGAUGGGGAGCAGCUGCAAAUAUUUAGCUUUGAUAGCACUUGCAAUUGUUAUUCGUCCCACUGCUGUUAUCCCGUGGAUACCUUUGGUCUUCAGUCAUUUUUUGCAAGAACAAAGGAAAGCAGACUUUAUCCUACACAGAUGCAUUCCAGUAGGACUGGUCACAAUAGGAGCCUCUUUAAUAAUUGACCGUGUGUUUUUUGGUGAGUGGGUACUGGUUCAGCUGAACUUCUUGAAAUUCAACGUGCUGCAAAAUUUUGGAACGUUUUAUGGAUCUCAUCCUUGGCACUGGUACUUCACUCAGGGACUACCAGUCAUCUUGGGUACCCAUCUGCCUUUUUUUAUUCAUGGCUGUGUGCUGGCACCAAAAAGGUAUCGCAUCUUUUUAAUGGCAGUGAUUUGGACAGUGUUGGUGUACAGCAUGCUGAGCCACAAAGAAUUCAGGUUCAUCUACCCAGUACUGCCAUUUUGCAUAUUUUUUUGUGGAUAUUCAUUGAAACACUUGAAAGCAUGGAAGAAAUCUGCAGCAAGUUUCCUGCUUUUAUCAAACUUAGUCCCAGCUCUGUACACAGGCUUGAUUCACCAGCGAGGCCCUCUUGAUGUUAUGAGCCACAUACAGCAACUCUGUAAUAACUCUUACCAGUCCCAAGCUUUUGUCUUCUUCAUGAUGCCGUGCCACUCUACUCCAUUUUACAGUCAUGUUCACUGUCCUCUAAAAAUGAGAUUCCUUCAGUGUCCCCCAGACUUAACUGGAAAUGAGAGCUAUAUUGAUGAAGCAGAUGUAUUUUACUCUGAUCCACUUGGUUGGCUUAAUAAGGAGUUUUACAAUGAUACGUUAUUACCCAGUCACUUGAUCUUCUUCAGUGUGCUAGAACAGGAAAUAUCAUCAUUUCUAGCUUUAAGGGGCUAUGAGAAAACAGCCACUGUCUUUCACACUCACAUUCCUCAAGGACGUAUUGGAAGCCACAUUUACAUCUACAGGAAAAAUACUGAAAUGAAUCACACCUGAAGAUCAGUUUCUAGACUUAAGACCAAAUGAGAUCAAUUUUGUGUAGCAGUACUAUGCUUAGAAGAUGUUGUACUUCAGAACGGAGAGCAUAGGGAGUCUGAAACCGGAUACCGCUGAAGAAUUCCACAGAUCCUAAGAACCUGAAGACUGCAUCUGAAGAAUCCUUUAGUGUAAAGAGUUCAUGUUAACAGGAGCCUGAAUUACAGAAAAACACUUGAAACUGUUUCUCUACUUAUCAAUAAUCAUAACUGGUAGAUACAGUACGACAUUAAAGCAAAAAAACAUCAGGCAACACAGAAAGAGUAUCAAAGACACUGAAAAUGUAUGUAAUGAGGUACCAUCCCUCACUAAUUGGUUUGUGUUCCCAGCUGGUACUCCAAGUCACAGUACUCUUUAGGUUUUGUAAGUAAUCUAUCCAAAUCCCCAGCAAUACAGCAAUAUUCCCUUUUUCAGAUCUUGGUUAUAUAAAAAAAUAAAUAUCUUAUUGUCCACAGGAAGAAAUUUUUCUGGCAAGGGCUUCCUAACUUUAUUAGCUUUUCCAUUUACUUCUGCUUCUAGCAUGUCAAUAGACAUUAGUGUUUACAUCAGCUACUAGCUGCAGCUGCUACGUAGUAUUUUACAUGACUGGCACAGUCAUUCCUACAAUCCUGCAUAUACUUGUAAUUCCUAAGACUUGAUUUAUUUAUUUUUCCAAUAUAAGUAUGCAUACAUACAUGGAUGUAUGUGUACAUAUACACACUAUUUAUAAAGUAAAUCUGAAUGCAAACACAGCAUCCACUCAUGACUUACCUUCAGGUUUACCUAAGAAAAAAAAGUGCCAAGUGAAAAUUAGUAUAAAUCUCAAAUGUCAAAAUUUAGACCCUUAACAAUUAGCCAUAAUCAAAUGCAAUUAGAAUCAUAUUCCCAGUUUCAAACUGACUCACAAAUCCUAGGAAGGCACACUUCCAUAUAAAACUAAAUCUACUUAGGAAAAAUUACUGUUGAAAAUAAAUGCCCUCUAAAAUUUUUAUCAUUGUUACUACAUUUAACAAAACAACAGAACUUGUUCCAGACCUAAAUCUAUGUAGUAGAAUACAGAUCUUCUAAGAUGCAUGUACAAUCUGUGUAAUGCUUAACUUUAGGCAAUGCACUGAACACAGAAAAAUUGCUGCUCUCCAGCAUUCCCUAAACUACUCCAGAAUUGCAAAGACAACUACAGCACAUUUUUCUUCAACAGAGAGAGAAGAAUAGUGAUACUACGGACUCUCGUAAAAAAUACGCCUUGCUUUUUAUGGUACAUUUACCAAUGAGUACAUAUGGGGCAGAAGCCUGAAGUAACUCUGAAUGCUGUUACGAAUGGUAAAGCACUACCCCAAAUUUAUUUCAAAAGGAAAGAUGGAAAAAUUAAGGGUACACACUGCAGCAUGAGAGCAGUAAGGAAUUUCCAUCUAGAAGGGCAACCAAAAUUAAUUUAUUUACAUUAAUUUUAAAUUAGCGUAUAUUAAAUACAGUUGCACUGCUGAAGGGCUUCUCUAUAUUAUCCAUACAUUGGCUGUUGCUUUUUCUCUUUUUUAGGUUUAGACUGUUAACAGAAAACACUGAAAAACUGGAGUCACAAUAAAAUG